rnacentral:rRNA from 1 species
AUCAAAAACAUAGUCGGCAGAUGACCUAAAUUUUUAUUGUCGAUAUCUUCUGCCCGGUGUUUAUAUAAACGGCCGCAGUACCUUGACUGUGCUAAGGUAGCAUAAUCAAUUGGCUAUUAAUUGUAGUCUAGUAUGAAUGAAGUAAUGAAUAGUAGCUAUAAUAAAAAAUAUUAUUUUAAUUUAAUGAACUGGUGAAAAUACCAGUAUAUAGAAAAAAGACGAGAAGACCCUUAGAGUUUUUGAAAUAAAGAUUGUUUAAGACUUUAAUUUAGACUACUCUUAAAGUAAUUAUACAAUACACUUUUUUGUUGGGGCGACAAGAAAGCAAUAUAACCUUUCUAUUGACACUAAAAGUGGUAUUAGAUCUGACGAUAUUAUUAUGAAUGACUAAACUACCUGAGGGAUAACAGCAUAAUGAUAAAUAUUUAGUUUGUGACCUCGAUGUUGGGCUAGGGACUUGUACACUAACCGAGAUAAAAGCUUGUUCUGUUCGAACAAUAAACCCC